rnacentral:pre_miRNA from 1 species
UCUUAUGGCUGAACAAAGGAAAUGGUUUUUUGAGAUGGAAACUAUUCCUGGUAAAAAUGCUAUGAA